rnacentral:lncRNA from 1 species
GCAGAGGCAGGAAGAGGAAGCGGCACCCGCUUCGGGGACCCAGCCGGCGGCCAGGCCACCGCGCCCACCCGGCCGAUGGCACCGUGUUCCUGCGCCUCGGGAGGGAGGAGGCUCUGCGCGGGACUGCAGGUUCUGCCCCGCAUCGGAGUGAUCGCUGAGCCUGACGCUCUCGAAGGCUGGGCCUGGGGCCCGCAAUCUACUCCGGAGGCUUUCCCACUGGGCAGGGUCGCUAGCAGGGUGCCACCCGGGUGCAGUGAGGACCUGGAGCCCCUGCCCCAGGCUGUGAGGAGACUUGACCAGAGCUGCCUGAAUGCUCCACGGAGCAGGAGGAAGCAUUCCCAUGUGAAAGAUGAGCUCCCUAUAAAAGCAACGCUCUUAUCAUCGAGAACAGAAAGUUGAAGCCAAGAGAGAGCUCCACAAGCUGACCUUGUUAAACUAACCCUUAUCUUCUUAGUCGCUUCUUUACCCAAUUAACUACCCUAG